CCUACGGGAGGCAGCAGUAGGGAAUCUUCCACAAUGGGCGAAAGCCUGAUGGAGCAACGCCGGGUGGGUGAAGAAGGUCUUCGGAUCGUAAAACCCUGUUGUUAGAGAAGAAAGUGCGUGAGAGUAACUGUUCACGUUUCGACGGUAUCUAACCAGAAAGCCACGGCUAACUACGUGCCAGCAGCCGCGGUAAUACGUAGGUGGCAAGCGUUAUCCGGAUUUGUUGGGCGUAAAGGGAACGCAGGCGGUCUUUUAAGUCUGAUGUGAAAGCCCUCGGCUUAACCGGAGUAGUGCAUUGGAAACUGGGAGACUUGAGUGCAGAAGAGGAGAGUGGAACUCCAUGGGUAGCGGUGAAAUGCGUAGAUAUAUGGAAGAACACCAGUGGCGAAAGCGGCUCUCUGGUCUGUAACUGACGCUGAGGUUCGAAAGCGUGGGUAGCAAACAGGAUUAGAUACCCUUGUAGUC
rnacentral:rRNA from 1 species